rnacentral:rRNA from 1 species
CACAAGCGGCGGAGCAUGCGGAUUAAUUCGAUGCAACGCGAAGAACCUUACCUGGGCUUGACAUGUUCCCGACAGCCCCAGAGAUGGGGCCUCCCUUCGGGGCGGGUUCACAGGUGGUGCAUGGUCGUCGUCAGCUCGUGUCGUGAGAUGUUGGGUUAAGUCCCGCAACGAGCGCAACCCUCGCCCUGUGUUGCCAGCACGUCAUGGUGGGAACUCACGGGGGACCGCCGGGGUCAACUCGGAGGAAGGUGGGGAUGACGUCAGAUCAUCAUGCCCCUUACGUCCAGGGCUUCACGCAUGCUACAAUGGCCGGUACAACGGGAUGCGACACUGUGAGGUGGAGCGGAUCCCUUAAAACCGGUCUCAGUUCGGAUUGGAGUCUGCAACCCGACUCCAUGAAGGCGGAGUCGCUAGUAAUCGCGGAUCAGCAACGCCGCGGUGAAUGCGUUCCCGGGCCUUGUACACACCGCCCGUCAAGUCAUGAAAGUGGGUAGCACCCGAAGCCGGUGGCCCAACCUUUUUGGGGGGAGCCGUCUAAGGUGAGACUCGUGAUUGGGACUAAGUCGUAACAAGGUAGCCGUACCGGAAGGUGCGGCUGGAUCACCUCCUUUCUACGGAG